rnacentral:rRNA from 1 species
CGACCUGAKUUCASAAGACGCUACCCGCUGAACUUAAACAUAUCAAUAAGCGGAAGAA